rnacentral:tRNA from 1 species
GGGGCUGUAGCUCAGUGGCAGAGCACUUGCCUAGCAUGCAUGAGGCACUGGGUUCAAUCCUCAGCACCACA